rnacentral:rRNA from 1 species
GGUUGCGAUCAUACCAGCACUAAUGCACCGGAUCCCAUCAGAACUCCGCAGUUAAGCGUGCUUGGGCGAGAGUAGUAUUAGGAUGGGUGACCCCCUGGGAAGUCCUCGUGUUGCAACCC